rnacentral:lncRNA from 1 species
ACGCACCGAUAUAUCCUGGUUCACUACAACCCGUGGCUAGUCCAGUCCGCGAGAGACUCUCUCGAGAUUUCCACUAUCUUCGUCAAGCUUACGGGUGCUUAACAAACCGUUACAGUUGCUCAAGGAUACCACACCUUAAGUCUUCACUAGCUUGAGGAUACCUCACCCCAAGACUUCAACCACAAAGACUUUGGGUACUUAGCAAACCCGACAAAUGAGAAGAUGUGUUCUUCUCAAACAACUCUCUUUUACAACAAAUACCCUCUCAAUAUAGUGGAUAAAGAGAAACAAAAUAAGCUCUAUGAACAACACAAAGUUGUCUAUCAAAUGGCUCAACAAAAGCUCUAAAAUGAUGCUUGAAAAUGAN